CUCAAUUUUAAUCACGGAAGGUGACUUUUAGAAUAUCCUUUACAACAUAUCAAAAGUUUUGAUUUUCGUUCGUAUUCCCCUUUAAGAAUACGCGAUGGUUUCUCAUCCCAGUGAAUAUUUAAUUGUCAAACCUCCUCCUUGCGAGUAUUUACUGGAUCUGUAUCGUAUCCCUGCGAAUACUGAAUGUUCUCGACUUCUUAAUGGAACGGCCGCGUGGAGAAUACUUAAUGGUCAUUCGCUUAGGAGGACGGGUUGUCAGUCCAAUUUGUAUUAGUGACAUUGAUUCAUUAAGACAGACACAUUCUUGAAAAUACUUUUAUUGACUGAAAAUAUGUGCAUUCCAGUAGAAUGAGUGGUGAUAAUGCAAGGACAGAAGAUGCACACGUGAAGGGAAGGCUUACAGGGCAUGGAGUAAAGGACAACGAGGACAUUGAGUGAAGGACAACGAGGACAUGGAGUGAAGGACGAGGACAUGGAGUGAAGGACAACGAGGACAUGGAGUGAAGGACAACGAGGACAUGGAGUGAAGGACGAGGACAUGGAGUGAA